rnacentral:lncRNA from 1 species
GUGUGUACUCAGAAACUCGUAAGAAAAAUAUUUGCGCAAAGGAUAUACUUUCCAAAUAUUUACUGAUUGUUUUUGAUUUCCAUCUAAGGUAAAGGCAGGUGUGUUCCUAUCCUGAAGCAUGGUGUAGGUGAAGGCCUGCUUUUCACUAAAUGUUUGCCAUGUUUGCCAAAUAGGCUUGGUUACCCACCACCCCUAUGCCUCUGGUUACCCCAGUCUGGGCCUGACAAGUAAAGCUUUUGAAAAAAUGACCACGGUUCUGAACAAAGCCUGUUGUUGCAGUUACAUUUCAGAAUUCUACAUGAGGUUUGCAAUCAUCUUCUGACAUCUUCAAGAUCCUGUGUAUUCCCUUGGAGAGACAUCGUUCUUUACAGAUCUCAUAGACAAAGACCAAGUAAAAUAACACCAUUUCACUCUACAAAACUUCAUGUUAGCACACAAUUACUUCUGAAGUCUGCCUUGACUGAUUAGAAUAAAGUUGGUAAUUCAAUCCUUUAUAUAUAGCUC